rnacentral:rRNA from 1 species
GACAGAGGGUGCAAACGUUGUUCGGAAUUACUGGGCGUAAAGCGCGUGUAGGCGGCAGCGCAAGUCGGAUGUGAAAUCCCACGGCUCAACCGUGGAAGUGCACUCGAAACUGCGCAGCUAGAGUCCUGGAGAGGAAGGUGGAAUGCUUGGUGUAGAGGUGAAAUUCGUAGAUAUCAAGCGGAACACCGGUGGCGAAGGCGGCCUUCUGGACAGUGACUGACGCUGAGACGCGAAAGCGUGGGGAGCAAACAGG